UGAGCAACCUACCGAAAUGUGGGGAUAGCCGGCCUAACGGCCGAGUAAUACCGCAUACGCUCUCGAUGAGGCAUUUCAUUGAGAGGAAACCUACGGGACAUUUCGAGGGCUCGCGGCCUAUCAGCUAGUUGGCGAGGUAACGGCUCACCAAGGCAACGACGGGUAGCUGGUCUGAGAGGAUGGCCAGCCACAUUGGGACUGAGAUACGGCCCAGACCUCCGUACGGGAGCAG
rnacentral:rRNA from 1 species